rnacentral:rRNA from 1 species
UGGGGAAUAUUGGGCAAUGGGGGGAACCCUGACCCAGCGACGCCGCGUGGGUGAAGAAAUCCCUCGGGAUGUAAAGCUCUGUUGUAUGGGAAGAGCAGAAGACGGUACCAUACGAGGAAGCCCCGGCAAACUACGUGCCAGCAGCCGCGGUAAUACGUAGGGGGCAAGCGUUGUCCGGAAUUACUGGGCGUAAAGCGCACGCAGGCUGAAUUAUAAGUCGGUAGUCAAAUACGGAGGCUCAACCUUCGUCUAUCUAUCGAUACUGUAAAUCUAGAGUAUGUGAGAGGGAAGCGGAAUUCCCGGUGGAGCGGUGAAAUGCGUAGAUAUCGGGAGGAACACCAGUGGCGAAGGCGACUUCCUGGCACAAUACUGACGCUCAUGUGCGAAAGCUAGGGCAGCGAACG